UUUUAGAGAGUUAUGAAAUAUAUUAUUAUAUAAUUUGAUAACUGCCGGACUUUUCUCACUCUAAGGGAAAUUAAACCCGAAAAAGUGAAAUAGGUCUAAGGUCUCAGAAACCCACUUUAUUUAGCCGGUCCAGCAUAUUCGGUCCUGAUCCAGACACGGGACAGAUCGAGUUGCCUGCGAGUCUGGAUCCAGCACGAGGAGUCUAGCCUUGUGAUGUGACUUGAAGAAGGACAGCAAACCCAGUCAAUUCGCAGCUCUGCUCGCAUGCUCGCUGAAGAAAUUAAAUAACCGUCUGACGUGAAAAGAGUGUUGAUAUUUCCGUACUAACGAUCUAAG
rnacentral:lncRNA from 1 species